rnacentral:tRNA from 1 species
GCUAUGAUUGCCGAGUGGUUCUGCUGUUGGGCUAGAAAUCCAAUAGGGUUUCCCUGCACAGGUUCAAAUCCUGCUCACAGCG